UACAGGGGGGGCAAGCGUUGUUCGGAAUUACUGGGCGUAAAGGGCUCGUAGGCGGCCAACUAAGUCCGACGUGAAAUCCCCAAGCUUAACUUGGGAACUGCGUCGGAUACUGGAUGGCUUGAAUUCGGGAGAGGGAUGCAGAAUUCCAGGUGUAGCGGUGAAAUGCGUAGAUAUCUGGAGGAACACCGGUGGCGAAGGCGGCGUUCUGGACUGCUACUGACACUGAGGAACGAAAGCCAGGGGAGCAAACGGG
rnacentral:rRNA from 1 species